CUCUCAUCCAAACAGCCAAGGUUGGUUCUCCCCUUGAAGGCAAAGUUUUGGGUCAUAAAGCAUCAGGAACGUGGGCAUCCUGUUACAGAUGGAUGCUUUCUGGUGUGGGGUUUACGGAGAAUAAACUUGAAUCGAGACUCAGUACACUCAACUGUGCUCUGUUGACUUUUCUUUAACCCCUGUCAGAUUAACCCCUGUCCCAGGUUAAUCUGGUAAACUCGAUGCUGUCCAAACUAGCCUCUGUCAGCCCAGCAGCCUCUAAUCUUCUGGCUAUUCUUUCGUACUUAGGAUUCUCUUUUUACCCAGAGCCCUGGAGGCCCCCGGAGCUUUGCAAUGCAGACUUGAGCCCAGAGCUUCGCCUCCCAGAUGGUAAUUAAUGUUUACACAAAAUGACAAGCACAAAAUGGAAUCUCUUUGAGCCCUGCCAAGCACCCAUCAUUCCCCUGAUCACCCACUCUUACAGUGUUUGAAAAUUAAUUUGCCUUGAACAAACAGUGGGCUUUCCCCAGUUUAUUUGUACAGUUUCAGUGACCGAGGAGGAAGGAGCUGCAAGACUGAAUGUCAUCCCUCCAUUCGUUCGAGUAAUUGAAUCUGCUAAUGGAACGAACUGGUCUCUGUUUAAUCCUUUGAAGAAAAGAGGGAGAGGAGGAAAAUGAAGAGAAGUGUGUGUUAGAGAAGGUAGAUCGUCUUCAGUCAAACACCAUUGGGGUGUACGGUUUUAGAGAUGGUACUGGGAGUUCCCCUGAGGUCUGGUGGUUAAGGCCCCACCUUCCAAUGCAGGGGACAUAGGCUCAAUCCCUGGGCAGGGAAGUANNNNNNNNNNNNNNNUGGGGUGCAGCCAAAAAUUAAAAAUAAAACACAGAUGAUACCUAAAACAUAGGGAGUGUUCAGAGUAUUGGUAAAUGAGUUCAGCAGUCAUGUUCAUUUUAAUAAGUAUAUACAAAACAUGCACGCGUACUUGCUAAGUCUCCUCUGUCUUGUCCGGUUCUGUGUGACCCUGUGAACUGUAGCCCGCCAGGCGCCUCUGUCCAUGGAAUUCGCCAGGCAAGAGUACUGCAGUGAGUUGUCAUCAUCUCC
rnacentral:lncRNA from 1 species